rnacentral:rRNA from 1 species
UACGUAGGGGGCUAGCGUUGUCCGGAAUCAUUGGGCGUAAAGAGCGUGUAGGCGGCCCGGUAAGUCCGCUGUGAAAGUCAAAGGCUCAACCUUUGAAUGUCAGCGGAUACUGCCGGGCUAGAGUCCGGAAGAGGCGAGUGGAACUCCUGGUGUAGCGGUGGAAUGCGCAGAUAUCAGGAAGAACACCAACGGCGAAGGCAGCUCGCUGGGACGUUACUGACGCUGAGACGCGAAAGCGUGGGGAGCAAACAGG